UACGUAGGGGCUAGCGUUGUCCGGAAUCAUUGGGCGUAAAGCGCGCGUAGGCGCCUGGUAAGUCCGCUGUGAAAGUCAAAGGCUCAACCUUUGAAUGUCAGCGGAUACUGCCAGGCUAGAGUCCGGAAGAGGCGAGUGGAAUUCCUGGUGUAGCGGUGGAAUGCGCAGAUAUCAGGAGGAACACCAUGGCGAAGGCAGCUCGCUGGGACGGUACUGACGCUGAGGUGCGAAAGCGUGGGGAGCAAACAGG
rnacentral:rRNA from 1 species